rnacentral:lncRNA from 1 species
UUAUAGUUACGAUUCAAAAAUCAUGAGUCGCGAUGACAUUUAUGUUCUCAACCAAUAGGUAAGUCAACCAACAUAUUCAACCAAACAUAACUAACUAAUGAGUAAAAAAAAAUAAACACUUAGAAAAAAUCUCCAACACUGAGUUCCAAAUAAGUACGAAUGCGGAAACUGAAAAAAAUACUACCCAAAAAUUAAAGUCAUCAGUAUAAGAGCUUUUAAAAUAUGAUGCAAGUCUGAAACUAAAAUGACAAAUCUAACAUAAGAGAUAUCCUGUUUGGAUACUAAAAUAACAGAAUAAGUAAAAGACAGAAGGAUGUAUGAGCCACGGAACAACCAAGCAGCUAACCAUAACUAAAAGACACUCCAAGCUCGGACUCAAAAUGCUCCAUGACAUGUGCUCGUACUCGGAAUCGAAUCUGCACCACAAAGAGUGCAACAAGUGCAGUAUAAGUAUGAAAUCACGUAUACCCAGUAUAUUUCAUUGACCGACAACGAAAAAGUAGUGACGGGAGUUUAUAUACGAAAAAUUAAUUCUUUACUUAUACAAGUCUAUAAUUCAUUCACUAGUCAAGUUUCAUCAAAUAGAGGUAAUCAAACAUAAGUAAUUUCCAACCAUCAAUUAAAAUACAUAAUCAUUAAGAAUGAAGGAUGUGAUGAGAUGCAAUGCAAUAUGAAUUCAAGUCAAUAAUACAAUUCAAGUCAAUAAUAUAUCAGCUAAUGCCUAUAUGCAUUGGCAUUUUCACAUUACAAUCCACAUUCUAUUGUAGUAACUUUCCCUUUUAUAACACUGGUACUCGUACCAAUGGCCAUCACACCAUUGAUACGAGAACCCCAUCUUUCGCCCUUACCCCUUGUCUAUUCCAUUUUUAAAAAUAUUUACUAGGAAAAAUAUCCUUCAACAAGUCUAAAAGUCUUAACAUACCUCAAAUGUCGAACCUCGUGCCAAAAAUCUUUACGAUUUUUCCUUUCCUUUCCGCAAAAUUUCGAAACAUUUCUAAUCUAACAAUUAUGCAAUAUUUAUAAGCAAAUCAUUCCGUAGACACCCAUAUGCUAUAUGUCUAUCCUAACUCAAAACUCACCAAACUUAAAAUUAUAUAUCUAUAUAUUAAACUCCCACUAUAAAGUAAUAAUUGUUAGAAAUUUUCAAAAUUUAAGCAAAUCAUUCACACCCAACCUUAACAACUGAAGUAUCCGAAAUUCAAUUAAUUUGUUUAUUAAUUUUUUUUUCUGCAGUUAUCUUUGUCAGCAGAAGAUUAACUCUUUUUCUAAUGACAAAUUAUCAUGUUUACAUUGCCCCUUUAAAUUUUUCUACCUAACCCACAAAUUUAUAGAACCAAAUUUUUCUAUGCAACCAUAAUUAACUUUUUUUUAAAUAAAUAAUAUAUAUAUAUAUAUAUAUAUAUAUAUAUAUAUAUAUAUAUAUAUAUAUAUAUAUAUAAAGAAAAUAAAAUAAAAAAGUAACCCUUCCAUUAAUGUCCACCAUCAGAAUGAUGGAUCAUUAAUGGCUAUAAAUACACCUUAGUUUGAUGCAAUUAAUAACAAUAAUAUAAAAUUUUCGUUCCUUAAAAACAAUUUGAACAAACACCAAUUGUUGUUUCCACUUUGAUACUAACUAUUCACAUAAUAAUAUAAUAAUAACAACAAUCCCAACUACUUUGACAGCAUACCUUAUGCAGAAUAGAAAAGGAUGAGAAGUUCUUUGCUUUUACGAGUGGUAGUUAUGGUUAUUCUUCUCGUUCGUCACCUAAGAUAAAUUUUCUGCCUAUGCCUCUUUUCUUUUUUAAACCAGAGUUUUUUUUAGACG